GUGUCAGCAGCCGCGGUAAGACGAGGGGUGCGAGCGUUAUUCGGAAUUAUUGGGCGUAAAGGGUGUGUAGACGGCAUUUUAAGUCUGUUGUUAAAUCUCCCGGCUUAACCGGGAAUCAGCAGUGGAUACUGGAGUGCUAGAGGGUGAAAGAGAGAAGUGGAAUUCUCGGAGUAGCGGUAAAAUGCGUAGAUCUCGAGAGGAACACCGAUGGCGAAGGCAGCUUCUUGGUUCAUUUCUGACGUUGAAACACGAAAGCGUGGGGAGCAAACAGGAUUAGAUACCCCAGUAGUCC
rnacentral:rRNA from 1 species